AUGCUUUGGAUGCUCGCCUCCCGCCAUGUCGUUGAGCUCCUCCGCCAUUGCCGCUCCAUCCGGCACCUCGACCAGCUCCACGCCCAUCUCCUCGCCCACGGCUCAUCCGGCGUGGCCCCUCUCGCCUCCCAGCUUGCCCUUCCUACUGCGCGCUCUCAGGUGCUGCUGGACACGGCUGACUCUUCCGCGCCCGUCACCUGUUCGACAGAAUUCCUGACCCGGACAGGUUCAUGCACAAAAGCCCUAUCCGGGCGUGCUCCAAUAGCAGUUGACCCCAAGAGGCGCUCUGUCUACACCGGGACAUCUUCCGGCGCGGAAUCCUACCCAACAUGUUCACGCUUCCGUUCGUGCUCAAAGGCGUGCGUGAGGGCACAGGCCGCCGAGCACGUGCUGCCCGCCGAUGGAGUGCUUGUCAACCUGGGGUAUGUGCGGCAGAUGAUCAUGCGUAACACGCUCCUGCAUUCCUAUGUGUCAACAGGGUCGCUGCGGGACUCUUGGCUGUUCUUCAGUGAGAUUGCGCCGGACAGGACGCAGGCUGGGGAGACCGGCGAGGCAUGCACCUUGUUUGGAGAGAUGGGGUGUCAGGGAGUGCUGUCCGAUGAGAUCACGUCAGCCUGCUUCGUAUGCGAGCGAGGUAAAUCAUGA
rnacentral:rRNA from 1 species